rnacentral:rRNA from 1 species
UACGGAGGGUGCAAACGUUGCUCGGAAUCAUUGGGCGUAAAGGGCGCGUAGGCGGCAAUUCAAGUCAUCUGUGAAAUCUCCGGGCUUAACCCGGAACGGUCAGAUGAUACUGCUUUGCUAGAGUGCGGAAGGGGCAAUCGGAAUUCUCGGUGUAGCGGUGAAAUGCGUAGAUAUCGAGAGGAACACCUGAGGUGAAGACGGGUUGCUGGGCCGACACUGACGCUGAGUGCGCGAAAGCCAGGGGAGCAAACGGG